CACCACACCCAUGAGUUAUGGGAGAGGACACAUUUGGGACAGCUGAUGUGAACUGGCCAAAGGGACAUUCCAUACCAUAUCACAUCAUGUUCAGUUAAUAAAACCAGGGUAGCAGAAUAGGAAAGGGCAGGGGGUUGUCUUCCAAGGUGGCCAUCACUCGGGGACUAGCUGGGCAUUGGUCUGCUUGUGAGAGGUAGUGAGUGAUUGCCUUAGCAUCAUUUAUUUCUUUUCCCCUUUCCUUCAGUUAUUAAACUGUCUUUAUUUCAACCCCUAGGUUUUCUUACUUUUGCUCUUCCUAUUUUCUUCCCAAUCCGACUGGUGGUGGGGCAGAGGUGGGGGAGCAAACAAGCAUCUGUAUGGGUGCUUAGCUGCUGGUCAAGGUUAACUCACCACACCUUUAAACACCUAUUUACAGAGUUACAUGGUUUAUGCCACCACAGCACAGGGGAAUGAAAAAGGGAAAGGCCAACACAUUGCUUUAAACGGCCAUCACUGUUUUUUGCGUUUUUCCUACAAUUUUCUGUGCCAUCCAACAAUCCCCAAGUAUCUGAAGUUAAAACAAACAUUCCACUUCAGUCA